UACGUAGGGUGCGAGCGUUGCCCGGAAUUACUGGGCGUAAAGGGCUCGUAGGUGGCCAACUAAGUCAGACGUGAAAUCCCUCAGCUUAACUGGGGAACUGCGUCUGAUACUGGAUGGCUUGAGUUUGGGAGAGGGAUGCGGAAUUCCAGGUGUAGCGGUGAAAUGCGUAGAUAUCUGGAGGAACACCGGUGGCGAAGGCGGCAUCCUGGACCAACACUGACACUGAGGAGCGAAAGCCAGGGGAGCAAACGGG
rnacentral:rRNA from 1 species